rnacentral:lncRNA from 1 species
CUGUCUACUUGAAGAAGACCUUGUCCAGUAGAUAAUUUCUCUUCAGGUUGAGAGCUCACAGCAGCUACAGUGUUCUCCAACGCUUUGCGUACACUGUAUGGGCUGAUGGGGAUGCCUUGCGCCUGCAAAGACAUGACAAGCGUUCAGUAAAAUUGUGGACACAUAUUAUUGGGUGUCAAGAGAAUGGAAAGUUACACUAUAAUCCAAUGGAUCAAGGGAAAAGAACAGUCCAUUGAGUCAUCAAUGCCCAUUGAAAUGACAGAAGGGGAUGGAGAGAGAGUAGAUGCACAGUUCCAAUUGGUGCCACUCUCACUCCACCAUCACCCGUCAUUCCAUAGGAUGGUGAUCACCCCAAUGAACUAUGGUCUUCCAUAAUCCACUGGAUUAUAUUACAUUUCCCAGCCUGGAUGAAAAAAAAUAUUCAGAACCAAAGAGUGGAUUGCAGAGGAAACCUUCAUUGCACUAAUCAACAAAGCAACUCCUCCACAUGCACAUGGAGAUGCCAUGGAAGUUCCAUUCAUAAGCAUACGGCUCUGCAGGGUCCAUGUAGGGACAGGGGCCACUGCCCCACCUGGUGCACUCAGGCAAACACCCAGAUCACCGUCUGCUGUUGGGCCCCGACUAGACCUGUCAAAUCAAAGGCGAUGAGAAUGCCAUCACAAAAGCAUAUUGAUUAAAUGAAUAAGCCGUGUAGAAUUGGAAACCUAGAGCACCAUUCCAGUGCUCUAAUGAAGAGAUCUACCUCGAGACCAUAUUCAAUAGCCUUCUUUUCCUUUUCUAUAAUCAUAAAUCAAUGGGGAAAAGUAUACACCAAGUUGUAAGCAUAAGAGCACAGACAAUAGAUAUAUUUAUUAGAGAGGGCGAGAAAAGACAGUCAUUAUGUGAAAUUUCGAAAUUUCUUGCAAACAAUAGAACGCAUACCAAGUGUAUUCCAAGCCUUCAGAAGGAGGUUCAACCAGACAGUGGGCCCCAGCAGCCAUGGCAGGCGAGACAUAUGCCCCAAUUCCUAUUAUGCUUGAACUUGUUCCACCAGGUGCACCCACAGUGGUUAAUGCAGGCCCACUAUUGCCAGCACUGCUAAUGAAUAUUACACGGUGUUUGUCCACUACCUGGAGCAACCGUUGAAAAAUAUCAGAUCACAGUGGAAACUUUUUUCCCAGACAAACUGUACUGUUUCUAAUUGAAAACAAAACAAAAGAUACGCUGCUAACAAACUAGAGCACAGGUAAUUUAGAAAGCACCUCGUUUACAAGGUCAACAAAACGUCCAUAGUCAGGGAGCAUGGUCGCCUCCCCAUAACUCAUGUUGAUGAGGUCGCACUUGUGCUGUUAAGAACAUCAGAGUUUUUGAACAAGCAAUAAGACCCAAUGAAUUAUCCAAGAACAAUAAUUGACUGUCAAGGAACAUUGAAAAGUUUUAUAUGUCGCGAUCAGGAGAAAAAAUUAAUAAACCGCAGGCCAAUGCAAUUCUGCAUAAAUUUAUAAUCAGUUGGCAUCAUGACCCUCCUAUGAAAUACUGGAGAAUGAUCAAGGGAGAUAAAGAGCAGGACCCCCAGAGCAGUUCACAAUCCGAGUGGUGGGCCCACUCUAUCUAAGUCAAACAGUGAAUGACCCUCCAUUGCAUUAUAGUAUAAUUUUGUGUGAUAAUAGGAUAAAUAAAGUCCCUGAUAGUCAAAUAUAGAGAAAGUCCUCAAUAAUCAACAUGUACCUCCACAGCUGCUAUCAUAGCUCUAAUCAGCCCAGUGCCUGUUUCCAUUGAACCCAGACGUGAAUCACCAAUUUUACAUGAAACAAUUUGUGCACCUGGUGCAACUCCAUUUAGUAAGGGUUCCUAAAAGUCCAGUAGCGAUUGUUCCAAAUUAGCAGUAAGCAAAAGUACCUCAGAAUAUGGAUACAACAAAAGAAACAGAGAGAGAAAUACAUUUGGGUGAAAAGCAGCUGUUAUUCCAGCAACAUGGGUGCCAUGGGGAGAGCAGUCUGUGACAAUGCUGAGUAUAUUUCCAUCAUUGUAAAUGUUUGUAACAAAGGAGCAUGCGUCCAAUUUGCUAAAUAUGCCAUAUUUCAAUUCUGUCCUGCAGAGAUACUUCCUGAUUGAGCAUAUCAUGAAAUAACAAGAUAUGGAACUUUUCAUAAACAUAUCUGUGUCAACAGAAAACCUUCUUAACCAAUAAGGUCCUAAAGAAACCACUAUGGAGGUAGAUUAAUUUGUGCUUAUAACAUUUUUACUUCUCAGAGUGUAAUUUUGUUUUUACUUCCUCAACAGAAGAAAAAAACAAGCUGAUUCAUAGAGGGAAAACAGAGAGCUUGUUAUUCUGUUGAAGUGAAAAAAUUGGACAAAUUUAGAGCCCAUAGCCUUUGUAUGUUUUCUUUUAUGACAUGGUACAGGCCAUGAUAGAUCUAUCCCUAAACUUGAAGAAAAUGAGAGAAAAAGAGAUAGUCCAUUGGUCAUCAUCGUGCAAUACAAUUCUGAACAAUGAUGGAGAGAGAGGGAGACACACCGUAGAGCUAGACUGCUGCUAAUGGGUGUUUUCACUCGCUCAUUAUCAUUGUUCACUAUAUCAACAGAUGGUCACAACGUCGAUCAGGGGUGGCAAUGGACCUGAACCCAACACAGGUUGGGUAUGGGUCUAGCAUUUGGACCCGGUGGGUUGGGUCCGGGUCCAAAACUUGGUCCCGAACACUAUACGGGUCAGGGCCUGGGUCCAGCUGAACCCGACCCAUACCCGUAAACUGUUAGAGAUAAAAUACUUUGCUUUAAGCCCUAUUCAUUUGGGUGUAUUAAGGAUCGUAUAUAAGUAAAACUAGUAGUCAUCUUUAGUUAUUAAACAACAAAUCACACAGCUUGAAAUUUAAUAGCGGAUGAUUGUGACCAUGUUGCCAAUAAUACGGGUAUAUAAUGGUAAAAAAAGGGGCAAAAAAAAAGAAAAAAGGAAGCUCAUAGUGAGGGUGACAAUGGACCCGAGACCCAAUGGGGUGGACCCGAGACCCGACGGGUAUGGGUAUGGGUCCAAUUUUUGGACCUGACAGGUCGGGUCCAGGUCCAAAACCUAGACCCGACCCAUUGCCACCCCUAACGUCGAUGGAGCAUAAAUUUACUAUUGUCCAUUGGAUUACAAUAUAUCUUAUAAAAAUCUGAUUGCAAUGCACAUUCAAUAAUGAGUUAAACCACAAUAGAAAUCACUAUUUUGCAAAUAAUUAGCAAAACAGAGUAAUAAACCUAUAGUUUGUCAUGGGAACAAAAUUUGCAAGUUUUCCGUUCUCCGGGUCAUCCUCAAGGUUUUGGGUAUCAAGUGCAGCCCUCCAAACAUCACCAUCAUUCCAUACAACAGCAUCAAUUAUGGGACCCUUAUCUUCAUAACUCUGAAGAAAAUGAAGUCACAUAUCAGAUGAGCAAGAAAAGAAAAAGAGUUCGAUAUAAAAAUAGAGAAGCUAAACUUGGCAAAUACAGAUAUAGGAACUCACUUCAGCCUGUUUUUCAAGAAAAUCAACCCUAGCUUGAAGGUCCUCUCUAGUCUUUUUCAAGUUUAUGUCCUCCACUUUUUUGUGCUUCUGCAUAUAGGCAAUUGAUUCAUUAAUGGAAUGGACCCAAUUAAACAGUAAAUACUCUAUCAUUGAAUGACUAACCAAGUGAAGGCUGCACACAAUAGCAUGGGCUGCAUGUGUGCGUGUGUGAGAAAGGUCCAUUGCAACUUAGAUAUCAGGAUCAUGCUUUACUCACGCUCUCUUUCUUGAAAGCCUAAGACUGAAAACUAACAGAUAUUCUUUUCUCUUCCCAUUUUUUGAGAAUAAGACUCUGAAAGUCAAAAUCUGAUGCUUGCUAAUCAAAACAGAACUUCUGCUAAUUUCAGUAGUUACUUUGUACUCAACUAUCAUUUACUUGGGCUUGAAUUUUUUUCCUAGGUAGAAUACUAUGCUCACGAGUCAAGAUACUACGAAAUAUAGCAAGAAAGAAUUGCAAGCUACCUGAUCAAAUUCAUUUAGAUGCUUCAGUGCUUCUGAUAUUGCUUCUUGGUUUUUCUCUUCCCAUUUUUUCUUUCUCUCUUUCUGCCAAAACAGGUAAAAUUCUUCAAACAAAACUAAACUAGUGGAUAAUAGAAACUCUCGAAAGGGAUUUAGUCAUAUACAUCUGUGCACCCUACCUUCAAACGGGACGUUAGAGUGCCCGUAAAGAGCUCAUAAACCAAUUUGUAGCCAACAUGCCACUCCCCAGAAGGGUUCUUCCAUGAUUUAUUCACCACCAAACGUGUACCUAGUAUUAUGUAGGGUAUUUUAAACACAGAGCUUCAAAUAAGCCCCGAUCCACUUAUAAUCUCUACAAUCCAAUGGAGAAGGGUAAAUGGAAAAAUAUAGUCCACCGGGUAGUGACCUACCCUAGCUUAAACCAAUAUCAUAGAAACAGUUGCUCUUCCAUUAAUGGAUGCCUAACUAUUACCCUUAAAAAAAACAUUCAUGUUAUAAUACCAACCUGAAGCUCCAUCGAUGCAGCCAUCUUCAUCAGCUUUAACCACUUUUGAAGUGUCAAUAUCACAGCUUCCAGUGCUGGAAUAGAGAGAAUGUUUUGUUACCUUAAAAGAAGUUUGCUCCAAAACAGAGAAAUUAAUCCAAGUAAAGUUUAAGAUUUCCCUUACCAAUCAAUGAUGUCUAUGAUUUUGGGCUUUCCAUCUGAGGUCACCUGCAAACCAGCAGCAGCUGGAUCAACUCCACUAUCUGCAAAUAGUCACCAUGUUAGUGGAUUGAACUGAAUGAGAAGAGAGAGAGGAAGAAGAAGAAGAGAAUUUGACAAAAAAUUACCAAAAAUUGCAACAAUGGCGCCACGCCCAUCAUACUCAGGAUGAGCUUCAAGGAAUCGAUCAGCACCGAUCUCCUUCUUCGGCAUCAAGCUCGCUAGAAACGUCGACUCGUUCAGGCCAAAAGAACGCAGGGCGCCAUUGUCCGAAGCACCAGUAGGCAUCGCCUUUCUCACACCAACUUUCCCACUGUAACUGCUACUCUUACCGGGAGUAGAGAUUCUAGAGAGAGAGAAGGCCAAAGAGAGAGGGCCCCCAAAUGAGCGCUCAAUGCCGAUCGGAGCUUUAUAUAUGGCACGCAAAAGCAUAUCUCUCUCUCUUUCUCUCUCUAAAGGCUACGCAUUAUGUUGUACACGUAAGCAUCUUAGCGUUCUUCGUCAGCGUCGUCAUCUCCGAAUCACUCUCUCUCUCUCUCUAAAAAGGAACUUUGAAGUGGCACAUGCAUAGCUCCUCUCUCUCCUCAUUUUCUCUCUCUUGGUUUUUGGGUUUGCCGAAGAGGGGGUGUUUCCGGUGAUUUCCGGCCGGCGAAGGAAAUUCCGGCCGGAUUCCGGCGGACGAAGCGGGAGACGUGCAGUGGUGCAGUGUCUGCACUAAAACGAAUUUGAGAGAGUAAGGAUAAGGUGCAUAAUAAAUAAUGCGUCCUCAUUAAAUCUUAAAAUGACUCAUGCAGCCUUAGUUUCUUCACCACUAUCAUCAUCUCUACUAUUUUAUAUUUAUUUAGAAUCGGCUGCAUGAAUUUUAGUCCGUCAUUAUGCUUUAUUAAUUAUCAUAUCUUCAAUAAAAUCGUAAGCCCCUUUAUCUUUUAUCAUGUAUUUUUUAUUUUUUAUUAUAAUUAUUUUUAUCUCUUUAUCCAUUACUCAAUAUAUGUUUUCUUUUUCUUAAAUCAAGACAAUGGACUUUUUUAAAAAAAGGAGGAAUGAUUCUUUGUUUGCAUGAGGGGUCGACAGCUGAAGUAAGGUGCACCUCCAAAAUUUUGCUAAACCAUGUAGUUUCUAUGUUGAAAAUUAUUUAAUGAUGGUCUAUAAAUCUAUUUCUACCUGUAAUUAUAAAGUUUAGAGUUCAAAAAUUAGUGUAGAUCAAGUAGAUUGAUAAGCACUUAAAAAUGUUGGAAAUAAGCAGUCGAGAUAAAAUAUUACAAAAUACAUUAUUUUUAGCACAUGAAAUGUUUUUUUACUGAACUACAAAUAUUUAGAUCAAGAUGAUCAAUUGAAAGAUUUUAUAGCAGCAUAACAACCUUUUCGAAGGGCUAUUGAAGUGAGCCUUACUUCUACAUUACAAGGUUGUUGCCUUAUAUAAAAAGUUUCCUUCAAAAAAUAUCAAUUACAUAAAUAACAUGGUAUUGUUACUUUUUGGAGUACCUUCUUGAAAAAUAGUAAAAUUUUAACAAAAUGGAAAUUGCAUAAGAUCGGAAGAUAUGAGCAAUCAAGGGCACUUUCUAAUUUAGCAUUAAUUAAGAAGCCAAAGCAAAAUAAUGAAAACAUCCUAGGUUAUUCAAAGUUAGCAACAUGGAACACGAGUAUACAAUAGAAAAAGUGAGUUACCUUUACUAAUCCUAAACAAUUAGGGAUAUUAUUGUCAAUUGGUAAUUCUAUAUUGCAAACCCAAAUUGUUAGGGGUAUUUUCAUUAUUUGGUUUGGACUACUUAAAUAUAAUUAAAUUACCAAAAUAUGCUUACAGCUACUAAUCUUGAACAAGGACAAUUUGGUUAUUGUUUUACCGCAUCUUUUAAGAAAGCAUAUGGGAAUUUAAAAACUAAUAAUAGGAUUGCUUAACCAUCUUAACCACUUUGUAAUUUCAUGGAUAUUGUUGGUGGGAAAUUAAUUCCCAUUUCCAAAGUGUCUAACUGCAUUGCCAGUGAGAAAUUAAUUCCCACUUCCAAGGUUUCUAAUUCCAUUGUAGGUUCCAAAUUACUUUUGGAAUAAAAGGUUUGAAGCACAUAUAGCAUGCUCCCCCCAGGAGCAGCGUAUAAUGUGUACUUACUCCCACGGGUGAAAAAGCUACUUAGGAUGACUUUUUCAGUCUAAAAUUUUGGGAUCUACCUAAGAACAUCGUAUGAUUGUUUUCAAAAAACAAAUAGAUUUUGAGUUUUUUUAAACAUCCAGAUAUUACCAUCAAAGAAUUAGACCCUUUUUUUUUUGGUAAAUCAUUAGGGGAGAAAGCCUCUUACCCGAUUUUCAUUGAACAAAAAUAAAGACGAUAAAAAUCAUAGUGUUAUAGACCUAUCAUAGGUCAACUGAGCCAAACCAUAAAGUAAAAACAAAAAAAUGAAAUUUGACGGUCUAGAACACCAAACUAUAAUAGCAGAGAAAGAUGCCCCCUUCUUAGCAAGUGUAUCUUCUACCAUGUUGGCUGCGCGGUAUAUGUGGGAAAUACUUCAUCUAUAGUCUAAUAAUCUGUGAUGGCAAUUGGUUACAACCGUGUGGAGUGCCCAUGGAGUUUUGCAUUGCCUUUGAAUAGCAUUUACAAGCAGUGGCGAAUCUCUUUCAAUUUGUAGUAGAAAACAAUUGAGUUCAAAGGCAAUAUCAAUGCCUACUUUGAUCGUAUGGAAUUCAGCAUAAUUGUUUAAUGCAAUACCAAAGGAGUUAGCAAAAGCCGCAAUAAAGGCACCAUGACUAUCCCUAAUAACCCUACCACCACCUACCAUAUCCGGGUUUUGAAAAGAAGUUCCAUCAAUAUUAAGUUUGAAAUAUUAGGGAUUAGAGAACGACCAAACAACCAAGAUGGAAACCUUGAUUCUUUGUUGAUGCCAAGGAAUAUGUAAGUUUUCAAUUGUUGCCUUCUUUGGUAUAUGAAAGUCUGCUAAGCCGCAAACAUCAUUAGUGAAGAAUUAGAAGAUUUUUGUUUGAUAUUAGAUCACCAUCGUACAAAAUGUUUUUCAGGACCUAAAAAUAAUCCUCAAUUCAGUUUUACCUCUACGGGAGUUAGUAGAGGAAAUGCUCCCGAGGAAGCAUAAAACCUUUUGACUUAUUAAUAUUUUUGAAGGAACACUUGUGACAUAAUUUGAAUGGAAAUUGGGAAGAAACAUGACUGUUGUGAUAUCAAGAUACUCCGGCUAAAAGUGAUUGUGGUAUUUUUGUACCAAAAAUAAAUGGUGUCAUAGUAUACACAAUCCCAAACCACUUGUUACAGUUUAUAAAAAGAAAAAGUUCAUAUGAAGCGUUAACCAUGUACUAUUGAAGUAGAGUGCACCUUAAAAAUCAUCUAGAAGAGAGUGUUUUGAUGUUGGACAACCUUCCAAUUGAUUAUCUUAAACUCAACAUAUAUGAAUAUAAAGAAAACAAAAGAUUUCAAGUCCUACAAAUAAUACAUCUAAUCACAAAUUCUCUAAACCAUCUAUUUUAAAGAUUUUCGAGUAUUUAUAAGUCUACUCGAUUUGUAUCAUCUUUAGAAUUUUUUUCAAGUAUUUAUAAGUCUACUCGAUUUGUACCAUCUUUAGAAUUUUAAAUUUCAUAACUAAGGAUAAAAACAUAUUUUAAGCCUUUAUAAGGUUUCUGACUUCCGAACUACAUUACUAUACAACCAUCAUACGUUUUAGACAUCAGAACUUCAUAUUUAUAGGUGUAUUUUUCUUCUACACCACAAGAAGGAUACCUUAUACAAACUUUAUUGUUUCUAAAAAGUAAAUUUAUACAUACCUAUUAAAUAUAAUAUUUCAUUGCAAAAUUAUAAAAAAAAAAUCCUAUGUCAUAGGAAAAAAAACCCAUUUUUUUUAGAACCUCAUUGUACCCAAUGUUUUAAUUGUUCAUAUUUUAAGGCCUAAAUACAUUUCACGGUUAAUAAAGGACCUUGAUUUGUUUUGCUAUUCAUUUAAAAUGGCUUGAUACUAAUAGAAUCGUGAUGCUUUUAAAAUAAAAAAAACUAUCACGGUUUUAGUAGAACAGUAUGCUUUUAAACUCCAAAGCCAUCACAAUUAUAGUAGAACCGUGAUGCUUUUAAACCAAAAAGCCAUCACAGUUUGGGUAGAAUUAUGGUCCUUUAAAACUUCACAAUACAAUCGUGGAAGUGGAUGGCCGGUGAUUAUCCCCACAGUUCUAAGUUCUAACAUAACCAUGAAGGGUAUUUUAGGUAAAAAAAUAUGUAAGAAAAAAAAAAAAAAAGAGAUGUGAAUGUGGUUUUUAAAGAAUUUGAGUUUUCUAAGUUCUAACACAACUAUAAAGGGUAUUUUAGGCAAAAAAAUAUAUAGAAAAAAAAAAAAAGAGAUAUGAAUGCGGUUUUUAAAGAAUUUGAGUUUUUUAUUUUUUAAAAAAAAAAACACAAGGAUUUUUUUAUGAAAAAAAUAUAUAAUGGGACCAUUUACCUGUGGUACAACGCGGUCAAAAUUAAUCUUGACUAUUGGAUAUGACAUUGGGUGGUUACAUUUAUUCUAUUGACCACGCUCAAAGUUCAAAAUGAAUUUUCUCAAACUUUAUGACAUAUACAAGCUCUCAGAUUUCACAUCGGAAGGUUAUAAGUAAAUGGUCUCAAUAUUGCCUUACUUUAUUUAAAGAAAAAAGUUUAUAGAGGAUUGCAACUUGAAAAUGUAGAAUUAAAGAUGCACCUCAAAAAUCCAUUGGAAAUUGUUGUUUUAAUCUUAAAAACCCUCUAAUUGAUUAUCUCGACAAUUAGAUAUAAAUAUGAAAAAGAAAAAAGAUUUCGAGUCCCAUAAAUAGUACAUCUUGCAGCACAUUAUCUAGACCAUCCAUUUUCAUGAUUUUAUAUGUUUAUAUAUCUACUUGAUUUUAACCAUUUCUUAAUUUUAAAACUUUAUAAUGAGAUAUGAAAAUAGAUUUCGAGAUAAUCCUAAGAAUUUUUUACACCAAAAUUAUAUAUUAUGAUAAAAUUUGGAGGUAUGCCUUAAUUGGAUUGUCAUCCUUAUUUAAAUAUGGAAAAAAUUUAUAUAAGGUUACAAUAUUGCUACACUUUAUAUAUGCAUAGUGUGCAUUGAGUGAUUUGUAUUGUAGACUUUUUUUUUUUGGGUAAUUCAAUGGCGAUAAAGAACCCCUACUCGUUUUUCAAAUCAUUAGUGGUUUUUAAAUACGUUAAGUGAGAAUGGAAGCUUAGGCUUUAGUUGGGCAUAGGUGGUACUGCCAUCAAGCUUAGGACUUAAUUGAGGCACAGGUGGUACUACCAUCACCCAUUCUCAUAAAAAGAAAAAAGUGGUUAAGUCAAUGGGGAUUUGGGCCCCUACCUUUUGGUGAGAAUGGAAUCUGAAUCAAAGACUUCAUCAUAAAGUUCAUUGAUACUACCGCCAAGACCCAGCCCAUUCUCAAUUUGUGUUGUACACUUUAUACAUGCAUAGUGCACAAUGAGUGAUUUGUGUUGUGCAUGGUGCGUAGUACACAAGACUGAGUAGUGUGCAUAUGUUUUGGGGCCACAAAAGAAAAAGGCAUAUUUUCAGGUUCAUACUGAGUAGUGUGCAUGUGUUUUGGGGCCACAAAAGAAAAAGGCAUAUUUUCAGGUUCAUGGACAACUAAGGGACCCCUUCAUAAAGGACCCCCGUGUAUCAUAGGAAUUGAGCCUAGGUGUACCCCUUGAUGCGGACAACCGACUCCAUUCCUUUUUUUUUGGGUGAGCAGUGGGAAGAGGGCCCCUACCCUUGUUAGGAAUUGAGCUUAGGAUGUAGCAUUGCAAAUCACCAAGCACUAACCAAUUAAGCCCAAGCUCUUUUCUUAACUCCAUUCCUUUUUGUUCCCGGUAAGUUAUCUAUUUUUUUAUGUAAAACGUUUAUUUAAGGUGCGACCCUAAAAUGUAGAAUUAAGAUGCAACUCAAAAAUCCAUAAGAAAUUGUCUUUUAAUGUUGGAAAGCCCUCUAGUUGAUCAUCGCAAUAUCGAGAUAUAUGCAUAUUAAAGAAAAAAAGGAUAUUUGAGUCUAAAAAUUAAUGCAUAUUGCAAUACAUUAUCUAGACCGUCAAUUUUUAAGAUUUGGAUGAGUUUAUAGAUCUACUUGAUUUGAAUCAUUUUAAGAGUUUAAAAUUUUAUAAUUACAUAUUUUUCAAGUCAUCACAAGAACAUUUGGCUACAAAAUUACAUCUUAUGACAAAAUUUAGAGAUGCACCUUAAUUCAAGUCCCAACCUUAUGCAAACGACACCCUUUUUUAUAUUUUUAUUUUAUUUAUUUUUUGAAUGAUAACGAAUAUCCUAGCAUCUCUAUGCUAGUCCUGUGAGCUCUGAGCCCGUCUUUCUGUCUCUUCACCGUGACUCUUACCUCUCUCCACCAUGAGGCUUGAGAGAUCCUCUCCCUCCCUCUCAGUUACGCCAUUCCAAAAUGCUUUUGCUCCGUUGUAUCCGUUCUCAACUAAAAUUUGGACAUGCGUGUCAAAAAAAAAUGUGGUCACAACCCCGGACAUGUGUAUCUGUAUUUCAUGGUUUUCGGAUGUGUUUGAUGACCAAGUAAGGUGACUCGUCUCUUUUUAUCCUUAUCAAAAGAUAUAUACUCAUGUAUCCAUAAUGAUAUAUAUCAAUAUGAACCCGAGAUAUCUAUAUCCUAACAGCUAUUUUGUAACCAGUUUCCAUUGGAUGCCACUUUCGAAUGUCCAACUCUAGAUAGAUAGGCAUUCAAAUAGCACAUUUUUCAGAUGUCUUUAAUCGGCAGCAAAAAAAUAUGCAUUUAGCAUUCUGGCAGCCGUGGUAGGUGCAUCGACAAAUUCGUUGACAAACUGGCUCUAGAAAAGAAUUCACAGUUGCUGUACUUUUUUUAAUGUGAUGUUCAACAGCUGUUCAGAAAUGAGCAAGGCUAUCUCAAGACGAGUUACAUGAAUGUGGUUCAAUGCAAUCACAACGGAAAUUAGUCCUAAAUGUGCCCCCCUAACCAGCAAAAAAUCAAAAAGAGCGAAAUGUUUUGCAGGGGGAGGCUAGGCAGAAAACGCAUGUGCAUCCAUUGCCUCUCAUAAGCUGCCACGUGGGCCCAGCUGACACUGUCGAGGAGAGAGAUCUGCAGUUCAUAGAGCUUCUUCUUUGGAUGUUUAGCAUCCUCCUCAAUCAAAUCACUCAAUACCUAUCCAAAAAACCAUUUCAUUAUUGGAUAUUAAGAAUAUUGUCAUUCGAUUCAAAAGUUUCAGUACUUAUAGACAAUAAUGUUUGCUAAUUCAUGAAAUGUUCAGAGAAAAAGAAUGGCUAGAGUUUUAAUUUUUACAUUGGGGUUCACCUUCAAUGCUGUACCGGGUCGCCCACAGCGCCUCUCAUGAGUAACCAAAAGUAACGCAUAUUUACUGGAUUUAAUGUUGAUCCAUUUCUUUAACUCUUUGAAAUUCUCUUCAAAACUGUAUGCCUUAUCACCAGACUCAUGGCCAGAUUCUGGUGAUGUCUUCCCAGAAUCUUCUUCUGCUUCCUUAAACAAGGCCUUCUCAUAUAUAUGAGUAAUGAUCCUAUAAGAUCCUCCCACACCCAUGUGUGUAGGACCCCAAAGGAUCACCAUUAAAUUUGGCACAGAUCUCUAGAAAAGUUAUCACAUAGGUGUGGGAUUUGACUUUUCUAGAGAUCUGUGUCAAAUUUAAUGGUGAUCCUUUAGGGCACUAUACACAUGGGUGUGGGAGGGUCUCACAAGAUCAUUUCUCUCUCUCUCUCUCUCUCUAUAUAUAUAUAUAUAUAUAUAUGAUAAGUUAACUAAAAUUUAUAUAAUAUUUUUAACUAAUUUAUAUCAUAAUAACAUAGUUGCCUUUUCAAACUAUGUUCAAGAGAUUUCUAUGUUAUUUAUCUAAUUUUCAUAUUUUAAAGUUUUAUUUUAUUUUUAGCAAAUUUAUGUCAUUAUAAAAUAGUUAGAUUUUUAAACUGUUUUUAAAAAGAUUUAUUAUUUAUAACAUCCAUUUAUAACAAAUUUUUUUAAGAGAAGACAGUAUCUCAAAUGUGAAGAAAGUCGCUAAGACAAUCAAAGAUAGCAUCACCAACAUGCGGCAUCAUCGGAUGCAUAAGGCUAAGCAGCAAAAGAACACAGACGCCAAUAGGAGGCAUGUUUUACCCAAAAACAAAGAUGCCAAUAGAAACUCGGGAAACGCCGAAAUGAAGGCUUUCCUUGGAGGUGUGGCACCAAUUGCACAAUAGAGUUAUAUUUAUCUUCCGGCAUUUCAUUAAGUUAAUGAAAACUACAACCUCAAAAUUGAUUUUCUCAAAAGCUAUGAACAUGAUAUUUAAUUAUAUAACAAGUUGGUGUUUUAGCCAUGAAGUUAGAUUUUCAGUAAUAUAAGACAUAUCUAAUCAAUGAAAUAGGGAAUGUGUACUAACUUGAAGCUACGCCCGUUAUGUGUAAUGAGAAGAUACUCUGGGGGCCCAACAACCGACGGGAUACUAGAAUGCAACUGGAUACAUUCCUCAAAAGGAACUAGUUGUUCCAAAUUGCUUGCAUCUUCAUGAAAUUUUGGCUCAAUUUGAAUAGUCCACUGCUUAAAAAGGAGUAGCAAAUUACAUUCCCAAACAACAAAACUUGUAAUACAAAAGAUAAUCUACAUACUAAAUCCAAAGACUUGAAAAAUUAAAAUGUUAAUGAAUCAACUUGUUGUUCUAUUAAUACAAGAAACUCCAGAAGUCAUUCAGAAAAUGGAAUAGCAGCAUCAACUUUGGAAAAUAUAAUUAUUUGAAAAUGGGUGUUAUAUGAAAUAACUAUGUAAAACUGUUAAACUUGGAUUCAAAGAGCAUAACAAAAGUACUAUUCCCCCAAGUGUAGGGCUUUUUUUUUUUUGAUAAAGCAUUUCCCCCAAGUAUAGUUCUAUAGACAAAGGUAAUAUCUCAAUAGAAUUGUUUUUAUCGGUGUUUCACACGUAACCUGCCUCAAAUGGCAUAACUAAUGCUUCUUUUUUUGUUUUUCUCAAAUCACUAUUGCCACAAUUUAGGGGGCCUUAGUCCUCUAUUGAAUACAUAGCGAUAUUUCAAGCAGAUGUUUGGACUCUUUUCUGUCACUUUCAUCCCUUAAUGAAAUUUCACAGUUUAGAAAUAAGAAAAGCAGCAAGAGCACAAUAUAUAACACAAAUAAAUCCCCCAAAAACUAAGCCCAUAUUCUCACUUUGUUUGGGACAAACAAAAAGUUGGCCACUUGACCGCCUAGGCAGCCGCCUAGGUGGCCAGGUUCUCAAACUGCCUAGGCAAGCCCUAGGAGGGCGCCCUUGGCAAACAUGCUCCUAGGUGCCUGCCUAGGCAUCCAAGGCACCGCCAAGGCGGUCGUCUCAAGGUGGGAGCCUAGGCGGUGCCUCGAUGCAACUUGGCCGAGGGGGGAGGAAUUAUUCUAGCCCCCCAAACCCCUAUGUGCUUCGUGUUUCCCCAAGUGUUCGACGCGAGGCCUCUUUCUCACACACACACACAUGUAUGGACCUAUAUGCUCUUGCUCUACACAAGAAGAAAAAGAAGAUGACCUCCAGGUGUUCGAUCUGAGGGUCCCCCCUCUCUCUCAUGGACUCAUUCUAUCUCUCUAAAUACAAAAAGAAGAACAUGUCCUCCAAGUGGUCAAUGUGAGACCUCUCCACCCGGGCCCAUAUGCUCUCUCUCACAAACUUAUAUAUGUGUGUGUGUUUGUGGGUGGGUGCCUAUAUGUAUACUCCCCUCUUCCCCCCACCAAAAAAAAACACCUUAGCAGGCCCUAGUAUCUGGGAACCUGCCCAGGCCGCCAGGAACCCUAGCCACCAAGGUGCCCCCGCCUCCGUUUUUUUUAACAUUGAUACAAGCUAUGAACAUACUACCAAAUAUAAAAGCAUUUCCAUACAUAAUGCUAGAUGCGCAAGUUGUAACUCCAUUAAUGCACACAAAGAAGAGAAUUCUCUAAGCCAUCCCACAUUUCUAUUUGAUAUGUUUUGAUGCUUAGAUGAUAUGAAUAGUUUUUCCAGGAAUUAAAAUUCUAUCAACUUUAAGGUUCUGAUAACCAGACAUGUCUGAUCUCAUUGCAACAUAAUCCAUAUACGAUAUUAACAUUUCAAUCCCCAUAGAUAGUCAAACAAGAUAUUAUUCGUCGCUUAAAAAAUUUGCUCUAGCAAGUAUGGCGUGUCAAAUCAACAAAGUUUUGACCCAAAUGUCACGAAUACCAUACAAAAUGAAAAAUAAAAAGAAAAAAAAUGCACAUGCUAAAGGACCCACAAUAGGUAGCAGAGUUUUAAACCCAAAUUUAUUUACCUAAACUUAUAAACCCAAAUAAGCUAAACCCUUAGAAAUGCCACAUAUUUCAAUAAAUGCAUCCAUAUUCUCAUUUAGCAUCCAUGCCGACGAACCUAAGUUGUGCACCUUCAUCAUUAUAGACUCAUAAAGCAGUAGAGCAACAAUGAAAUUAAGAAUACAGAAAAAAUUCAAGGUUUAUUUAAUUAAGUUGCCAAACUUUAAGGUAUAUUCAUUUUUUUUGAUAAAGUGAUGUUUUGUAUCAAAUGACUUGUAAAGAAAUGUAGAAAUCACGAAUAGCUGUCAGUUUACAACCCUAAUAUCAAUUACAGUUUUUCACCGGUAUCAUUUCUAGAAGAAAUAGUUGUACUGGGCAGCAACAGACUUAGUAGCACAAAAGUUUUCCUUUUUAUGGGCAGAUUUUGUAACUCAAUAAGUUUGACUUAAACAAAACAAAAGAGAAAGGACAAAGAGGGAGAAGGAUGACACCCAAAAAAAAAAAUCUAAAUAGAUUUCAAGAAUCUGAUAAAGCUAAACGAGCAUUCUGUAUACUUGAAAUCGUACCUCUGUGAAUUGCGGAGAAGCACUGGCCUCCCUCAGAUAGAUGCCUCUUGUCUUAGGGGCUACAAAUAUAGGGCUUCUAUGAGAUCAUUUCACAGGCAACUGUAUACUAAGUGUUGACGUAACAAGAGACUAUUUGAGAAAGGAACAUCAAUGGUGUAGAGAACUCUUAACAAAUAUUUAAAUAUAUUUCAGGAGUAAAGGCAAGAAUUUCUGGCUAUGAUUCAACCGCACAACUUCUGGAGAAUAGUACACUCAGUUAACUAGUGUUACCAUGUUACCACCCAAACAUAUAGCUGUUCUACAUCUUUUAACACUUUCAAGGGACACACCAAUGGACCAUUGCUUUACUUAAUCUGCUGGAUUUAUAAUGUACUUUCACUAAUUUUAACACACUAAUCUUCAGCCCCCAGACAUAUGACACAAGAAAGCUAAAUCAAAAACUCUUGAGGAAUUUUGAGAAGAUGGUAACCUACUUCCUUGCCCUGUCUGAGUAACAUUUACUUUAUACCACACACAAGGAAGAUCCUUUGACUGUCGUAUGUAUUCAUGUGCCCUGCAAUAAACAUAAUAAUGAGUUAUCAAGAGUCAAAGCAACCAACUAACUUAAUGGGAAAAUAAUAAUAAUAAUGAACAGUACAACCGAAAAGCCAACAACUGGAUCUGCAACCCAUCAUAAAAUAACCUGUCUACUUGAAGAAGACCUUGUCCAGUAGAAAAUUUCUCUUCAGGUUGAGAGCUCACAGAAGCUACAGUGUUCUCCAACGCUUUGCGUACACUUUAUGGGCUGAUGGGGAUGCCUUGCGCCUGCAAAGACAUGACAAGUGUUCAGUAAAAUUGUGGACACUUAUUAUUGGGUGUCAAGAGAAUGGAAAGUAACACUAUACUCCAAUGGAUCAAGGGAAAAGAACAGUCCAUUGAGUCGUCAAUGGCCAUUGAAAUGACAGAAGGUGAUGGAGAGAGAGUAGAUGCACAGUUCCAAUUGGUGCCACUCUCACUCCACCAUCACCCGUCAGUCCAUAGGAUGGUGAUCACCCCAAUGGACUAUGGUUUUCCAUAGUCCACUGGAUUAUAUUACACUUUCCAGCCUGGAUGAAAGAAAAAAAUAAUCAGAACCAAA